rnacentral:rRNA from 1 species
AAAGCGUGCGCAGGCGGUUUUGUAAGACUGUCGUGAAAUCCCCGGGCUCAACCUGGGAAUGGCGAUGGUGACUGCAAGGCUAGAGUUUGGCAGAGGGGGGUAGAAUUCCACGUGUAGCAGUGAAAUGCGUAGAUAUGUGGAGGAACACCGAUGGCGAAGGCAGCCCCCUGGGUCAAAACUGACGCUCAUGCACGAAAGCGUGGGGAGCAAACAAGAUUAGAUACCCCAGU